rnacentral:rRNA from 1 species
AGUGAACGCUGGCGGUAGGCCUAACACAUGCAAGUCGAACGGCAGCACAGUAAGAGCUUGCUCUUACGGGUGGCGAGUGGCGGACGGGUGAGGAAUACAUCGGAAUCUACUUUUUCGUGGGGGAUAACGUAGGGAAACUUACGCUAAUACCGCAUACGACCUACGGGUGAAAGCAGGGGAUCUUCGGACCUUGCGCGAUUGAAUGAGCCGAUGUCGGAUUAGCUAGUUGGAGGGGUAAAGGCCCACCAAGGCGACGAUCCGUAGCUGGUCUGAGAGGAUGAUCAGCCACACUGGAACUGAGACACGGUCCAGACUCCUACGGGAGGCAGCAGUGGGGAAUAUUGGACAAUGGGCGCAAGCCUGAUCCAGCCAUACCGCGUGGGUGAAGAAGGCCUUCGGGUUGUAAAGCCCUUUUGUUGGGAAAGAAAAGCAGCAGGUUAAUACCCCGCUGUUCUGACGGUACCCAAAGAAUAAGCACCGGCUAACUUCGUG